UACGUAGGGUGCAAGCGUUGUCCGGAAUUACUGGGUGUAAAGGGUCCGCAGGCGGGUAAGCAAGUCGGUGGUGAAAUCCUGCAGCUUAACUGCAGAACUGCCUCCGAUACUGUUUAUCUUGAGUUCGAGAGAGGAUGAUAGAAUUCAUGGUGUAGCGGUGAAAUGCGUAGAUAUCAUGAAGAAUACCGGUUGCGAAGGCGGUCAUCUGGCUCGAUACUGACGCUCAGGGACGAAAGCGUGGGGAGCAAACAGGAUUAGAUACCCCCGUAGUCC
rnacentral:rRNA from 1 species